rnacentral:rRNA from 1 species
UUAGUUACCAGCACGUUAUAGGUGGGCACUCUAAGGAGACUGCCGGUGACAAACCGGAGGAAGGUGGGGAUGACGUCAAGUCAUCAUGGCCCUUACGGCCUGGGCUACACACGUGCUACAAUGGUCGGUACAAAGGGUUGCCAAGCCGCGAGGUGGAGCUAAUCCCAAUAAAACCGAUCGUAGUCCGGAUCGCAGUCUGCAACUCGACUGCGUGAAGUCGGAAUCGCUAGUAAUCGUGAAUCAGAAUGUCACGGUGAAUACGUUCCCGGGCCUU